ACUGACUUGCUCUUUUCUCUCCACAGUCAUAAAAGAGCUGAUAAGAUAAGCAGUGUUGUGCCUGAUCAGUUUUUGGAUGGGAUACCCCUAGGAAAACCGGUUGUAGGUG
rnacentral:rRNA from 1 species